UACGGGGGGGGCAAGCGUUGUUCGGAAUUACUGGGCGUAAAGGGCUCGUAGGCGGCCAACUAAGUCAGACGUGAAAUCCCUCGGCUUAACCGGGGAACUGCAUCUGAUACUGGAUGGCUUGAGUUUGGGAGAGGGAUGCGGAAUUCCAGGUGUAGCGGUGAAAUGCGUAGAUAUCUGGAGGAACACCGGUGGCGAAGGCGGCAUCCUGGACUAACACUGACGCUGAGGAGCGAAAGCCAGGGGAGCAAACGGG
rnacentral:rRNA from 1 species